GGAAACGUGGUCUCGUGGGAGAUUAUUAUGGAGUUCUAGACCUGGUGUGGGGAGUAUGGGGAUCAACCUCAGAAGCCUCCAGAGAGAGAUCGGUGGACUCUAGGGGUGUCGAUCUCAGACUGACCAUCGCUGGGGCCACAUCCAAGCAGCAGCCCUUUGUCCAGAGCCAUUUCCUCCACUGGCCUCAGUUCCUGUAGGGCCCAGAUGGUGCUGAAGUCAGAUGAUCUCUCAGGUUCGAAAGUUUAUUACGAGAGAUGAUACAAAUGCCAAAAUAUAGCAAGUAAGGCUUGAAUUGAAUAUGGUUUCUGGAAAAACAAUCUCUUGUUCAUUGGGGGUGACUGCUUUGCUAGGAGGAUGAGUAGGUACAUGGAGUUCCCUGAGACCAGGAUGAACAACCCUGGCUCAUGGAGAAAA
rnacentral:lncRNA from 1 species